GCUGGCGGCCAUAGCGGCGGGGCAACACCCGGUCUCAUUCCGAACCCGGCAGUUAAGCCCGCCAGCGAUCCGGAUUGUACCUUGGAGCGAGAGCUAAGGGGAAGUCCGGGACGCUGCCAGCC
rnacentral:rRNA from 2 species